CCAUCUGUAAAGUCUCUGUAGGCGGACUAUCCAAAUAAAGUGUUACCUAAAGAUCACAAGCAAAUCAAAACUCAUGUGUGACAGGUGGCCACACCUUCACACCAUAGACUAUAAAAGCAGCAUGACCCUGAGCAAGUUCCUAAGCGGUUCUUUUCCACCAGCAAAUCACUACACUGAAAAACAGUGAAAGAAACAGCCAAGCUUUAUCACCCUUAAAACCUACCUAACAGAGGCUAGAGUUUACAUGCUUUAAUCUGUAUUUGUGAUUGGAACUCUACCUACAGGUGUUGAAGAUGGCACAGCCGAUGAGCCAGUGGUCAAGAGUGAUCCUCUUUGGUUGCCUCUUGUGUGUUGGGACGUUCCAGGUUUCAGGUGCCCAACAGUCAGUCAAGUCAACAGCUUUUUCCUUCUACAUGGAGAUCACCAACCGACCCUUUGAAGACUCACUCCUGGAUCCCUCUUCAGACUACUACAAGAGCCUGGAGUCUGAGGUUGAGGAUUUGAUGGAUAAGGUCUUCAAAUGCUCUUCUUGCGGCACCAGUUACACCUAUGCGGGUGCUACAGACAUGACUUUCAAGGGGGGAUCCUCGUCUGUGAUCGUGAAGACAAAACUUCUUUUUAACACACUGAUCAUAAACAGUUUGGUGGUCGAAUUCUUGUUCAUAGACAAGAUCAUUGCAGAUCCGCCCAAAGCCCUUAAAGUGAACCUUGAGUACACAAAAGGUAAGGAUUUAUCAGCAAUAUGCUGGUCAUCUGAUCAACACAAACACAGCCUAGCAACCCUCAUUAUAAGAUGA
ensembl:lncRNA